GGUUAAGCGACUAAGCGUACACGGUGGAUGCCCUGGCAGUCAGAGGCGAUGAAGGACGUGCUAAUCUGCGAUAAGCGUCGGUGAGGUGAUAUGAACCGUUAUAACCGGCGAUUUCCGAAUGGGGAAACCCAGUGUGUUUCGACACACUAUCAUUAACUGAAUCCAUAGGUUAAUGAGGCGAACCGGGGGAACUGAAACAUCUAAGUACCCCGAGGAAAAGAAAUCAACCGAGAUUCCCCCAGUAGCGGCGAGCGAACGGGGAGGAGCCCAGAGCCUGAAUCAGUGUGUGUGUUAGUGGAAGCGUCUGGAAAGGCGUGCGAUACAGGGUGACAGCCCCGUACACAAAAAUGCACAUAUUGUGAGCUCGAUGAGUAGGGCGGGACACGUGGUAUCCUGUCUGAAUAUGGGGGGACCAUCCUCCAAGGCUAAAUACUCCUGACUGACCGAUAGUGAACCAGUACCGUGAGGGAAAGGCGAAAAGAACCCCGGCGAGGGGAGUGAAAAAGAACCUGAAACCGUGUACGUACAAGCAGUGGGAGCCUCUUAAUGGGGUGACUGCGUACCUUUUGUAUAAUGGGUCAGCGACUUAUAUUCUGUAGCAAGGUUAACCGAAUAGGGGAGCCGAAGGGAAACCGAGUCUUAACUGGGCGUUAAGUUGCAGGGUAUAGACCCGAAACCCGGUGAUCUAGCCAUGGGCAGGUUGAAGGUUGGGUAACACUAACUGGAGGACCGAACCGACUAAUGUUGAAAAAUUAGCGGAUGACUUGUGGCUGGGGGUGAAAGGCCAAUCAAACCGGGAGAUAGCUGGUUCUCCCCGAAAGCUAUUUAGGUAGCGCCUCGUGAAUUCAUCUCCGGGGGUAGAGCACUGUUUCGGCAAGGGGGUCAUCCCGACUUACCAACCCGAUGCAAACUGCGAAUACCGGAGAAUGUUAUCACGGGAGACACACGGCGGGUGCUAACGUCCGUCGUGAAGAGGGAAACAACCCAGACCGCCAGCUAAGGUCCCAAAGUCAUGGUUAAGUGGGAAACGAUGUGGGAAGGCCCAGACAGCCAGGAUGUUGGCUUAGAAGCAGCCAUCAUUUAAAGAAAGCGUAAUAGCUCACUGGUCGAGUCGGCCUGCGCGGAAGAUGUAACGGGGCUAAACCAUGCACCGAAGCUGCGGCAGCGACACUAUGUGUUGUUGGGUAGGGGAGCGUUCUGUAAGCCUGUGAAGGUGGCCUGUGAGGGUUGCUGGAGGUAUCAGAAGUGCGAAUGCUGACAUAAGUAACGAUAAAGCGGGUGAAAAGCCCGCUCGCCGGAAGACCAAGGGUUCCUGUCCAACGUUAAUCGGGGCAGGGUGAGUCGACCCCUAAGGCGAGGCCGAAAGGCGUAGUCGAUGGGAAACAGGUUAAUAUUCCUGUACUUGGUGUUACUGCGAAGGGGGGACGGAGAAGGCUAUGUUGGCCGGGCGACGGUUGUCCCGGUUU
rnacentral:rRNA from 1 species